UAUUACGGCCAUGCCAUUCUGAACGCGCCUGAUCUCGUCUGAUCUCGGAAGCUAAGCAGGGUCAGGCCUACUUAGUACUUGGAUGGGAGACCACCUAGGAAUACCAGGUGCCGCAGGCU
ensembl:rRNA 5S_rRNA 5S ribosomal RNA